CUUUGCCUUGGCAAAACUUUAUCUAACCUUAAUAGUCUUCACUGGACCGGGCAGCAAUUAGGCGAACAUAUGGCAUCGAGUUAUUAAUACAAUAUUAAUAUGUGUAUCUUGUUUUUUCGCUACCUCAGCGUGGAGUGCGAUCCCGCAAAAGCCUGUGCGGGGGAACCACCGCAUCAAUUCUUGCCCGAACAUGUCCCAUCUGCAGGGAAGAGAUGAGAGCAGGACUAAGGAAAAACUACCAAGAGACUGCUGGCAUUGAUAACGAUAAUGGAGAACACUGUUGACUUCAAGAAGACAGAAGUAAAGUGUGUGAAACUUCUACCUGCUCUUCCUCUCUGGAUUAUUGAAUAUGCUUGGAGUGGGAGAUUGACCGAUCUACUGAAUGUGCUGGGGCCUCCAUUGUGGCUGGAGGGAGACUGGCGCUCCCUGACCCUGGCCGAGCUGUGCAGUG